GUUGGCAUGAUGAUGAUUUUAAAAAAUAAAAAAAAGCCGUUUACCCAACUGAGGGCUUCCUUGAAGUAACUUGAAAUCUGAUGUGCCAUG
rnacentral:snoRNA from 1 species